GACGAACGCUGGCGGCGUGCCUAAUACAUGCAAGUUGAGCGAUGAAGAUUGGUGCUUGCACCAAUUUGAAGAGCAGCGAACGGGUGAGUAACGCGUGGGGAAUCUGCCUUUGAGCGGGGGACAACAUUUGGAAACGAAUGCUAAUACCGCAUAACAACUUUAAACAUAAGUUUUAAGUUUGAAAGAUGCAAUUGCAUCACUCAAAGAUGAUCCCGCGUUGUAUUAGCUAGUUGGUGAGGUAAAGGCUCACCAAGGCGAUGAUACAUAGCCGACCUGAGAGGGUGAUCGGCCACAUUGGGACUGGGACACGGCCCAAACUCCUACGGGAGGCAGCAGUAGGGAAUCUUCGGCAAUGGACGAAAGUCUGACCGAGCAACGCCGCGUGAGUGAAGAAGGAUUUCGGAUCGUAAAACUCUGUUGGUAGAGAAGAACGUUGGUGAGAGUGGAAAGCUCAUCAAGUGACGGUAACUACCCAGAAAGGGACGGCUAACUACGUG
rnacentral:rRNA from 1 species